AUUGAACGCUGGCGGCAGGCUUAACACAUGCAAGUCGAGCGAGCGGCGGACGGGUGAGUAAUGUCUGGGAAACUGCCUGAUGGAGGGGGAUAACUACUGGAAACGGUAGCUAAUACCGCAUACCAUCAGAUGUGCCCAGAUGGGAUUAGCUAGGAGGUGGGGUAACGGCUCACCUAGGCGACGAUCCCUAGCUGGUCUGAGAGGAUGACCAGCAACAUUGGAACUGUGACACGGUCCAGACUCCUACGGUAGGCAGCGUGGGGGAAUAGUGUACAAUGGGCGCAAGCCUGAUGCAGCCAUGCCGCGUGUGUGAAGAAGGCCUUCGGGUUGUAAAGCACUUUCAGCGAGGAGGCGUUACUCGCAGAAGAAGCACCGGCUAACUCCGUGCCAGCAGCCGCGGUAAUUC
rnacentral:rRNA from 1 species